rnacentral:ncRNA from 1 species
CGUCUCCUCCACCUCCUCCUUGGUGGAUUCAAGCCCAGGCCGAUGGCCCGGGCUUUUUUUU